AACUAAAAGGAUCUUCCUCUUUAACUAAAAGGUCUAUCUCUGUAGGGAUCCAUCCCAUAAUGUUGUCACACACUUGUGUUUUCAUUGGAUGAAAAUAAUAAAGUUGUACAGAAUUUAAAGAAGGUGAAAACAGACCAAUCAGAAGGCAGAGUUUGACCAUGUCUGUUUAUACAUAGGGUCCAGGUUGAUAAAAAAA